GCUGGGUGCAGAAGUGCACACCUGUAAUCCAGAAUUCUUAGGAGGCUGAGGCAGAAGGAUCACAUCUUUGAUCACCAAACUAAGCGCUUAGUGAGACCCUGUUUCAA
rnacentral:sRNA from 1 species